CCUACGGGAGGCAGCAGUGGCGAACGGAUCGGGCGCAUGCUGAUCAGCCAUGCCGCGAGUGAAGAACGCCUUCGGGUUGUAAAGCUCUUUCGGCCGGGAAGAAAUCGCAUUGGUUAAUACCUGGUGUGGAUGACGGUACCGGAAUAAGAAGCACCGGCUAACUACGUGCCAGCAGCCGCGGUAAUACGUAGGGUGCGAGCGUAACGUUAAUCGGAAUUACUGGGCGUAAAGCGUGCGCCAGGCGGUUUUUGUAAGACAGGCGUGAAAUCCCCCCGGGUCAACCUGGGAACUGCGCGCUUGUGACUGCAAGGCUAGAGUACGGCAGAGGGGGGUGGAAUUCCACGUGUAGCAGUGAAAUGCGUAGAGAUGUGGAGGAACACCAAUGGCGAAGGCAGCCCCCUGGGUCGAUACUGACGCUCAUGCACGAAAGCGUGGGUAGCAAACAGGAUUAGAUACCCUGGUAGUCCACGCCCUAAACGAUGUCAACUAGGUGUUUGGGAGGGUAAAAACCUUUUAGUACCGGAGCUAACGCGUGAAGUUGACCGCCUGGGGAGUACGGCCGCAAGGUUAAAACUCAAAGGAAUUGACGGGGACCCGCACAAGCGGUGGAUGAUGUGGAUUAAUUCGAUGCAACGCGAAAAACCUUACCUACCCUUGACAUGUCAGGAAGUCUUGAGAGAUUGAGAUGCGCCCGAAAGGGAACCUGAACACAGGUGCUGCAUGGCUGUCGUCAGCUCGUGUCGUGAGAUGUUGGGUUAAGUCCCGCAACGAGCGCAACCCUUGUCGUUAAUUGCCAUCAUUUAGUUGGGCGCUUUAGCGAGACUGCCGGUGACAAACCGGAGGAAGGUGGGGAUGACGUCAAGUCCUCAUGGCCCUUAUGGGUAGGGCUUCACACGUCAUACAAUGGUCGGUACAAAGGGUCGCCAACCCGCGAGGGGGAGCCAAUCCCAGAAAGCCGAUCGUAGUCCGGAUUGCAGGCUGCAACUCGCCUGCAUGAAGUCGGAAUCGCUAGUAAUCGUG
rnacentral:rRNA from 1 species